UAGGGAAUCUUCCACAAUGGACGCAAGUCUGAUGGAGCAACGCCGCGUGAGUGAAGAAGGCUUUCGGGUCGUAAAACUCUGUUGUUGGAGAAGAAUGGUCGGCAGAGUAACUGUUGUCGGCGUGACGGUAUCCAACCAGAAAGCCACGGCUAACUACGUGCCAGCAGCCGCGGUAAUACGUAGGUGGCAAGCGUUAUCCGGAUUUAUUGGGCGUAAAGCGAGCGCAGGCGGUUUUUUAAGUCUGAUGUGAAAGCCCUCGGCUUAACCGAGGAAGCGCAUCGGAAACUGGGAAACUUGAGUGCAGAAGAGGACAGU
rnacentral:rRNA from 1 species